AUUUGAAGUCCCUAGACCGUCGGAAAUGGUAUUUUUAGACUCUUUCUACCUAAUAUUUCUAUAUUUUAGCAUUGCCUAACAAUGAAGAUAAGCAUUGUUACAUACAAUCGAAUGUGAGUAUUUGACCAAGAAAAUUGAGAAAAUUUUGGAAAUUUGGAGUCUCCAGAUCAUCAGAAAGGGUAUUUGGCAAUGUUCCCCCUGCCACGACGGGGGUAGGUAUUUUUCUAGUUAAGCCUUUCGAGUUAAGCCCUUCUCGAGUUAUAUUAAGCC